AUGUACAAAUACAUAUAAUACAAAAUAAUUGUUAGAUUUAGUAGAUUAUGUUAAAACGACAUGGACAUUAGGCCGAACUUCCGACGUAUUUUUUUU